CAGGGAUUGCCCUAGUAACGGCGAGUGAAGCGGCAACAGCUCAAAUUUGAAAUCUGGCUACAUCCCGUAGUCCGAGUUGUAAUUUGUAGAGGAUGCUUUUGGUGAGGUGCCUUCCGAGUUCCCUGGAACGGGACGCCAUAGAGGGUGAGAGCCCCGUACGGUUGGAUACCAAGCCUCUGUAUAGCUCCUUCAACGAGUCGAGUAGUUUGGGAAUGCUGCUCUAAAUGGGAGGUAUAUCUCUUCUAAAGCUAAAUAUAGGCUAGAGACCGAUAGCGCACAAGUAGAGUGAUCGAAAGAUGAAAAGCACUUUGAAAAGAGAGUUAAACAGCACGUGAAAUUGUUGAAAGGGAAGCGCCUAUGACCAGACUUGUUUCUGGCAGUUUCGUUAGCCCUCGGGCUGAUUUACUCUGUCCAGUACAGGCCAGCAUCAGUUUGCUGUCGGGGAGAAAGGCUCUGGGAACGUAGCUCCCCCCUUCUGGGGGGAGUGUUAUAGCCCUCUGCAUAAUACCCUUCGGCAGACUGAGGACCGCGCUUCGGCAAGGAUGCUGGCGUAAUGGUCAUCAGCGACCCGUCUUGAAACACGGACCAAGGAGUCAACCUUAUGUGCGAGUGUUUGGGUGUAAAACCCCAGCGCGUAAUGAAAGUGAACGUAGGUGAGAGCUUCGGCGCAUCAUCGACCGAUUCUGAUGUUUUCGGAUGGAUUUGAGUAAGAGCACACAGGGUUGGACCCGAAAGAAGGUGAACUAUGCUUGUAUAGGGUGAAGCCAGAGGAAACUCUGGUGGAGGCUCGCAGCGGUUCUGACGUGCAAAUCGAUCGUCAAAUAUGAGCAUGGGGGCGAAAGACUAAUCGAACCUUCUAGUAGCUGGUUCCAGCCGAAGUUUCCCUCAGGAUAGCAGUGUUGAAUUUUCUUCAGUUUUAUGAGGUAAAGCGAAUGAUUAGGGACUCGGGGGCGCUAUAUUGCCUUCAUCCAUUCUCAAACUUUAAAUAUGUAAGAAGCCCUUGUUACUUAAUUGAACGUGGGCAUUCGAAUGUAUCAACACUAGUGGGCCAUUUUUGGUAAGCAGAACUGGCGAUGCGGGAUGAACCGAUCGCGUGGAUAAGGCGCCAGAGUGAACGCUCAUCAGACACCACAAAAGGUGUUAGUACAUCUUGACAGCAGGACGGUGGCCAUGGAAGUCGGAAUCCGCUAAGGACUGUGUAACAACUCACCUGCCGAAUGUACUAGCCCUGAAAAUGGAUGGCGCUCAAGCGUUCCGCCCAUACCACGCCCUCAGGGUAGGAUCUAUGCCCUGAGGAGUAGGCUGGCGUGGAGGUCGUGACGAAGCCUAG
rnacentral:rRNA from 1 species